AUGUAGUUCAGUGGUAGAGCACUUGCCUCACAUGUAUGAGGUCCUGGAUUCAAUUCCCAGCAU
rnacentral:tRNA from 1 species